AUGGAGACCCCCACCAGCCCCCAGCCGUGCUCUCACAGCACCGGCCAGGACUGCACAGCACCAAGCGUGCCGACAGUGCGCAUCUCUUCGAAGGUUGUCGGUAAGAGCCCGGCGCGGCGGCAGCCGGCGUUGACCCCGCAACAAAGAGCAGCUCCCAAAUGGAAGAAAUGUGUGUUUCUGUGCCUGGAGGUAGCAUCUCUCUGCAUCCCCAUCUUCACCCUCUUACACAGCGAAAAAUGGCCCAGGGUGUCUCGUUUGAAAACAAGAUGCAUGUUAGAUAGGUUUAAUUUUCACCCUCUUAUGUUUUUGGGAGUAGGAGGAGGUGGGGAAGAGGGAAGGUGCUCUAGAAAUCUGAAUUUGAGGCACUGAAGGCCAUGUGUGAAUGCUCCUGUAGCUCAGAAAGCAGGGGUGAAAAGAUAUGCGGGAAAUCCUCCUCCUGUGUUAUCAGGGCAUUUUAGUAGCAGGCCCCACGCUUCUUUCAGCAGGUGAUACGAGGCCUGUAGCCCAGGUGGCUCUUUGGGCACACAGCUAUGGACAUGUCAUCUCACCCUCCUUUGGCCAGCUGCACAGUGCAGCACUGGCACCUAUGAACCCUUCUCCAGCUUGCCUGCAUUUUGAGCUUCACAUAAGCAAGGAAGGGCCUGGCAGAAGAAACAGUGUACUGAGCCCACCUAGAUGUCCUUCUUUCCUUGGGGCAAUACAGCAGCAAAAACUUUGCAUCAUGUCUUUCCUGAAAGUCUCCUAAAUGUUCACUAAGUGAAACAAAAAUACGAAACAAAAGCUGAAGUCUCCCAAAUGCUGACUGGAAUCAGCAGAUUCAGACAGGUCUCCUGGGAGAUGCUGGAACAGAUGAUACUGUGAAGUAAAUAACAGUGUGAAAUGGCACUGCAAGAGUGUGCUGGGAAGCUCGUUCUAAGGGUCAAAGUCGGGCUGAUGUGAGUGAUGUGGUAUUUCUUGGAGAUGUAAAAUUAGAAAUGUUACCCACAGCAGAGGGGCAGUUUCUCUCCUGACCUAAUCUGAUGCCAUUCCAGUUAUCUCAGAAAAUCACACUGAUUAGUAGAAGAAGUGAUUCUGAUCCUGGAACAAUGAGAGAUGUUUUUCAGCAAAAGUAAAGAAAGG
rnacentral:lncRNA from 1 species